rnacentral:rRNA from 1 species
GAUGAACGCUGGCGGCGUGCUUAACACAUGCAAGUCGAACGGAAAGGCCCUGCUUUUGUGGGGUGCUCGAGUGGCGAACGGGUGAGUAACACGUGAGUAACCUGCCCUUGACUUUGGGAUAACUUCAGGAAACUGGGGCUAAUACCGGAUAGGAGCUCCUGCUGCAUGGUGGGGGUUGGAAAGUUUCGGCGGUUGGGGAUGGACGCGCGGCUUAUCAGCUUGUUGGUGGGGUAGUGGCUUACCAAGGCUUUGACGGGUAGCCGGCCUGAGAGGGUGACCGGCCACAUUGGGCCUGAGAUACGGCCCAGACUCCUACGGGAGGCAGCAGUGGGGAAUAUUGCACAAUGGGCGGAAGCCUGAUGCAGCAACGCCGCGUGCGGGAUGACGGCCUUCGGGUUGUAAACCGCUUUCGCCUGUGACGAAGCGUGAGUGACGGUAAUGGGUAAAGAAGCACCGGCUAACUACGUG